CCGUCUCGUCCGCACAGCAGCAGUGCUGCCGUCCGCAUCUCGUCUCUACUGCAGCGCCGCCGCCGCCGCCGCCGCCGCGCCGCAUAUUGUCUCACCGCAGCGCCGUCGCCGAGCUUCUCCUCGCCCUGGCGUCGACGUCUCCUCUGACCCCGGCGCCGCUGUCCGCACCCGCCCCGGGGCGCCAUCUGCACGGCCCCAGCGCCGGUGCCGGCACCACCGUCUGCUCUCAUCCUGCACCACCAAGUGCAGGUGAGAUGGCGUGGUGGAGGAGCGACAGGUACGCAGGAUCCACGUGUGCACAAGUGCAGGUGAGGAGCCGUGAUGGAGCAGCUGGCGGCAUGUAGGAUCCCUGUGUGAUUUUUGCAGAUCUAGCCCACGAGGCAUUCGGGCUCUUGUGCCGUUGUGCGGAAGCAUCAGCUGGAGCUGAGCUCUUGGGGCUGUAGGCGUUGGGGUAUGUCCUCCUCCUCCUUCGAGCUCGCGCUGCGCGACCCCUUGUGAGCCUUAUGCUCAACCACAUGCACGUCAUAUUACAAUGAACGCAUCUAGGCCGAUAAAUGCAUAUGGUAAGUUUCAGUGAUUAAUGACAACCGUAUAUGACUAUCUUAUGUUUUGAAGGUCACAUAUGAAAUAUGAAAGGAGACCCCUCAAUUCUCAUUGAUAUGUGUGUCAAGACUCGGACAUGAAGAUUAAGGACUUUUCUAGUAUCAAGUGUCACAAGGAGAAGAAGGACACUUGACCUAGUGAAAGUUGGCCUUAAAAAUAUGUACACUUGCUCAAGCUCAGUACUAGGCAGCUCAAAGAAGUUAAAGCAACAUGUGGAAGAAGAAGAAACUCGAAGAAGAACUCAACUCAAGUGAAUUGCAGAAGUGGCAAAAACAUUCAACGGGUCAGUUAAACCGAUGCCCUUGUUUUAUAACAUAUUGGUGCAUAGGAAUCUUCAUAUGGCGAUCAAGUCAUCUGCAUUGGUUAAACCGACGGUUUUGUCAAAGGUGUCAGGGCAAUGGUCGGUUACUAAUACCAAGAGCAUUUUGGAGUUGCAGGAGACUGGGUCAAGAAAGGCUAUAGCACCGGUUAAACGUAUCAACAAAGGCAUCGGUGCUUUGGUAGGUUACUUGUACAGAAGCAUUUGGAGUUGAGGCUGAAUGCCUCAACAAGAAUCUCUUCAGCACUGGUUAUACCGACGAGCGUCGGUGUAAACCGUCGGUGCAAUGAUGUCAGCCAAGAAGACUGUUAGGGUUUAACGGCUACUGUUCAUAGUUUAGUGUGACCGGUUGAACCGACGCCUGUGAGGCUGUGUGUUUUUUACUAGGCAAUAUGAGCAUGUUAGUGUGUUUACCUACCUAGGAUGUCAAUGUUAGUGUGCUCUAGUUAAUAGGUUCAAAAUUCAUAGAUUGGGCACGGGCCCGGUGUGGGGGGGGGGGGGGGGGGGGCGCAAGAGGGGCAGCCGCCCUGGGCCCCAAAAUAAAGGGCCCCCGGGUACGUACGUAUGCAGUAGGUAUAAGUAGAUUGAUACGCGCGUAUACUGGGGCCCAAGUACAACGGAGAGCCUGCUUCUCUCUUUGAUUUUUGUGAUUUCGUCUCUAUUUUUUGGGCGAUUGGCGCGUCACGGAAAGGCAGCAUGCAAGCGCCAAGCAGCGCGUCAGUGGUUCAUCCCCUCGCCGCCGCGGCCGAUCACAAUUCAUGGACUCGCAGGCAUACCGGCCAUCAUCUUGCAUUGAUCGUGUGUCUGAUGGUCGUGCCUCCGACCCUCUAUCCUCAGUCAGUCCAUCUCCCUACAGUUCCUAUCUCCCCGCACCGUCGUGCAGGGCCGCAUCCAAGCAACCAAGAAGCAAGGCAGGAAUUGGAGGAGGGAGCGAGGUAGGAACUUUCAAUUUUUGCCCAUGGCUGGCCCUGGUACACACCGGCUCAAGGAAUUGGAUUAAUUGGUAUUUCAUAUUUGAAUAUUGAACCUUCGUUACAAUAUAUCAUUGAUAAUCAAUUUAUUGGACAUUGGUGACUCAGUGAGGAACGCGUAAUAUUUGGAUUUGA